CUGUUGAGUGAUGCUGUUGAUGAAUGUGUCAAUGACCUUCUCAGAUUCACAGGUAAAGCAAUUGAUUUCGUCCAUAACGGUCGCCAGAUCUGGGUUUCCAAUUUCAUCUUCUACUAUUUUUUGCAGCAGAAUGUAGGAGAUGUCAUAUUCAAAUUCACUCAACCAAGAAGUAACAAUUUCAACCUCCGCAUGAAGGUUCUGAAUAGGUUGUUUUGCAGCAUCAGACAACGUGACUUCUUCACCAGCUAACACCCGUCCCAGCCUCUCGGAAAAUAGUCUGAAGUUGAUGUCCAUAUCUCCUCCUCUCUCAGAUUCACCCUGAAAUCAGUCCUGUAGCAUGCAAAGAAAUAAUUAAAAGGAAAACAUGCUUUAAAGCUCUCAAUUCAAACAUUAGUGUUGGCUCCCGUACCUCCCUUCUCUUAGCUAGUUCUCCAGUUAAGAAGUUGAAUCAAGGUCGUUGACUCUCAAAUUAUAACAGAUCAAAGCAGAAUCUUACAAUACUCUUGUCUUCCAUAUGGUGUAAAAAGAAUAAAGCAGAGAAAAAUAAACAGGACAUCUCAACUUAUGGUUGGUUAUUUUUUUCACUGAAUUUUCUGAUUUUAAUUGAAUCAAUUACUAGUUGUGACUCGAGCUCAAUAGAGUUGAAGAGAAAGAAAAAGAAAAAUGGAGUCCUUCUUAUGUCCCUUUUAAGUGAAUAUAUUUAGGACGGGUACCAUAGGGCACUUUCAUCGUGCUACAAGUGGUUUUUAUCAUUUGGAUCCUUGAUCACGUUACGCUUGUUGACUAUGAAGCAUUGCUGCCUUAAUUAUAGAGAUGCUGAGGAGUUUUUUACUGACCAGAUAUUUAUGCAUAUAUGAUUUUCUAUUGUUUCCUUGUUCUCGAGCUGGAAGACAAAUAAUUUUUUCUUGUUCUCUUAUCUUAUUCAAGAUUUGUCAUUCUAAGUGAGCUAAUUUUACCAAAACUAUCUUUUUCUUUUAUUAGCUCACGUGGGAUAGUCGAGAUGUCACUUUUUUUCACUGAUUAAGGGUAAAAGCUUGUUUAGUCCCUAUAUUAUGAGGUUAGUGUCCAUUUAGUCCCUGUAUUUUUAAAAACACCUCAAAAUGUCCCUGCUACUAAAUAUUGACACUUAUGCCAUUAUUUUUAACUUGUUUUUACAAUAUUAGAUUUUUACAAUAAUGUUUCUUUUUUGGAUAUUAAUAAAAAAUUAAAUUAUCAAAUUAAACUCAAAAAUAAAAUAAAAACAAAAAAGGUAUAUAUUAAUUUUUGUGGAAGCUCACGUAUGUCUAAAAAAUUAAUAUCAUAAAAAUUAUAUUAUCAAUUUUUUAGAAAAAUUAAUAUUUUAACUCAAGAGUGUGUUUCACAAAAAUUAAUAUAUAUUUUUUGGUGUUAAACUGGUAAUUUAUUUUUUUUCUUUUUAAUAAUGUCUAAAAAAAUUAUUAUAAUAGGGUUAUUUUUUCUUUUUAAUAAUGUCUAAAAAAUUAUUAUAAUAGGACAAUAUUAUAAAAAUAAGUUAAAAGGAACAAAAGAUAAUGGCAAAAGUGUCAAUAAUUUAAUAGUAGGGAUGGUUUGAGGUAUUUUUAAAAAUAUAGGGACUAAACGGGCACUAACUUUAAAAUAUAGGGACUAAACGAGCUUUUACCCCUGAUUAAUUUCGAACUUAUUAUUCUUGAGCCUUAUGUCAGCUUUCAACUGGUCCAUAAAUAUCCUUUUUAAUUUAGCUCCAAACGAAUCCAAUAACCUCUUUGAAAGCGAAAAAUUAAAAAUUUAUUCAAUCAUUCCAUGUUAAGGAAAUUAGCCAAGCAAUGGAAUUAAUGCUAACAAACCAAAUUAAAUUUCUACAUUUUUUUGGGCCUAUACCAAAUUUCAUCACUUAAUUUAAGUAGAACAAGUACGUUGUAGCUGCUUACUCUUUACAUCUAGCUGGAGCAAUGAAGACCGGUUAUUAGACGGAUGUGGAUGAAAAUCGUGUUAAAAGACUCAAAAUAUUUUAUGUAUCCAUUUCGUAUCAAAGCUUCACUGCAAAACAAAUCGUAGAGGCUCACCCAUAUGCUGUAGGAUAUGCUACCCAUAAUUGCUUUCUCGAAUGCAUGGACACACACACACACACACACACACACACACAAAAUACGGUAUUUUUCUAGCCUCUUAUUGCUUCCAGAAGAACGUGGCUUCAACUUAUUGAAUCCAUUAGAGGGACACGUCAGUGCAGCAGUGACAAAAAUGCCUCUAUAAAUGGCAGUUCUUGUAAUCAUUUUGCUACCAUUCUUCGUUCCAGUCCCACGCACAUAGCCCAAACUUCAACUUUCUUUGCGUAAGUAAUGAAGUGCAAUUCGGUCUCGGUAAUAUAAAUUUUUUUAAUAAUUCUCUGUCUAUCUCGUCAUUUGUUAAUUCAUUGUUAUUACAUAAUUCUUCAAAUAAUUCUUCAUUUAAAUAUUUUUUAGGAUCAGGAUCAUUAAAUAUUAAGUCUAUAAUAUAUUUCAUAUACCUUGGAAUGAGAAAAAUAUCACAUCUAUGACGCUGGUUUUACCGAGUUCAAAUAAGCCUCAAGCAUUGGGCAGGAUUUUCUUCUUCCACUCAAUGUCUAGACACCUCUUUAACAUCAUAAUAAACUAUUUAAAAAAAAAAGAAAAGAAAAAAAGAGCCAAAGGAGGAAUAUUACUAGAAUCUUUUUACUGCCUAAGUGGAUAUGUCUACCGUAGUGCACACAAUUCAUCAUAGGAAAAAAAAGAAAAAAAGGAAAAGGCCUUAUUGUAAUGCCUAAGAGGAUCUUAGGAUUUCUUCACAAGAACAUUUACUAAGAGAGUCAACCAAGUAUGAAGUUCAUGAAUAAUCAAUCUUUUGUGAAAAUAAACCAAACAUAUUGAGUGUCAAACAUGCCUUAAAAACAGGAUUUCAAAGCAAGCAACAGAGCAAAGACAGACAAUACAUUCCACUGAAUCCAAGACUAGAAAGGCUAUCACAAAUAUUAUUUAUUUUUUUGCACACAUUUAGCCAACCAUGGCUGAAGCACCAAUCAAUCAACUCUCAACUGAAAAUCUGAAACAAAAUUUCUUAUUUAUGAGUAGAAAGAAGAUACAAAGAAACCAAAAAAUGUCCACUGUAGCAUCAGGAUAUUUGCAUAGACAGCAGAAAGUAAAGACUGAAAGGAUUCUGGUUGAAACUGGAACUCGUUCUGUAGUGAUGAUAAUUUCUGCUCUGAUUUCACCUACACAAGUCAUUGUGACAAAAAAGUUUUAUAUUACUCUUUUUUUUUUUUACUCUUAACUAUCAAAACAAAUGAACGCCAAUGUCUGCUAGGCCCAUAGUUGAACAUACAAGGGUACAUAAGUCUCCACUGCUGCUAAAGAGGGCUUAAUGAUUGGGGUGAGCAUCGAAAACUCUAGAGGCUACUUAAUGCUGAGACAAAUUAGAAGAAAACAAUUUUAUAACCAUUUUUAUAUUGAAGAGAAGGGGGCAAAAAAGUACAUGAAAUUGGAUGAAUAAUUAAAAGUGGAAGAAAUUGGAUAAAAAGAGAAACUUACAUCAAAUUCAAUGAGGGCUAAUCAAAUUCCGUAAGGAUAUAGCCGAACGCCAUGCUGCUCCUUAUCCUCGAAUUCCCGUAGCUUUUGUCUCAGCUCCGGCUGAGGCCACCAACACUCGAAAUUGUUUAAGCUCCUUAUGCACCAAAGCUGUUCAGGAAUCUUUUUCAAGUAAGCACAGGGGUUGAUAAUCAAGUAUUCUAGUUUUGGCAUGGCUGCAAUCCCCAUAGUCCACUCCUCUAGCCAUAACAUUGAUUUUAGGUGCAAUACCUUGAGGUUCGGAAACCCAUAAGAGCCACAAGUCAGCUUUCUACCUGAAUAUGAGUUUUGCUUCAGUUUGAGCACUUGAAGAAGCGGCAGCUUUUCUAGUGCCGGCAUGGGAUCAUCCAUUAGUUCAGUAUCAGAAAAACUCAGGUGGGUUAGACUAUGAGGAAAUAGGUAUUCAGCAAGGACUAUUUUGGAGAGCCGUGGCAUCUUGCUUUCAUUUGCCAGCUUCAAUGACUCAAGAGGAGCUCAAUCUGCUGAGGCUUUUGGACAACAAAGAUUGAUAAAAAAUUAAAUCUCCCCGUAUCUGGAGAUUUUGAAGAUUAGGCAGUCUGCCCAAUAUAUCUUCAGAACAGCAGCAAGGGUGCAAGGCUGAAAUGAAAUUGAGAUUUUCCAGAGAGCGGCAAUAUUUUCCUGGAUGCGCAGGAAGUGUGAUUGAGCCAAAAUUUAGAUGCCUAAGCUUGCUCAUCUUCCAAAAUUCAUCUGCUGUGUGAUCUAUAUAGCUAAAGGGCAUGUCUAGGGUGUACAGGUUCAGAAGAUUGCUUAAUAAUGGCGCAGGCAGGCUUUUGAGGGAAGGGAUAUUCAACUUUAAAUAUUGCAAAAGAAAUAAAUUUUCAAUUCCGGAUGGAUAUUGGAUGAGAACAAGAGAUCCCAAGUCCAAUACUCUGAGAAAUUCCGAACAAGAGAUCCCAAGUCCAAUACUCUAUUGGAUGAGAACAAGAGAUCCCAAGUCCAAUACUCUGAGAAAUUCCAACAUUAGACAAGGUAGUCGCUUUUAGAAGUGAAGUGCAACAAAGAAUGCAGGUGCGAGUCAUAAUCAUCUAAGUAAGCAAAAUCACUAUGUUUUUCAAAAACGUUGAUCGGUUUGACAUUUUUUCGUAAUUUACCUUCUGGAUCCAUGAAUGAGAAAAAGAUAAAUUCUGCCUUGAAAGCCACUGCUAACAACACAGGAUGGCAACGACCAGGAACAGAGCAUGUGUUGAUAGUGCCUCCAGCUCUUCUCUUCCUUGCAUCAACAAAGCCUCUAUUGAUUAGUUGUUCUAAGUACUUCUCAGCAGUUGCCUCGCUGUUGUCUGGAAUGAAACCUUCAGCUAUCCACAACUGAUAUAACUGCCUGGUGGAUAUCUCUAGGUGUGCGGGAAACACAGAUAAGUAGAGAAAACAAAGUUUCAAGUGAAAAGGUAGCUUGCAACAUAUUACAAUUAGAAGCCCUAAGGGUGUCUCGAAUACUUCCCUUAUAUUUUCUUCUAAUGAGAUGCUUCCAUGAUAUAAGAUGAGGAAAGGCCAUCCUUGAUAAGUAACUCUCAAUGGUCCUCCAGUAGGCACUAAAUCAAGCCGUACGCUCUCUCCGUUUUCAAAUUGAAAUCUGGUGACCAUCUUAAUUCGAGUGAGUGUGAUUAGCACUCUACUUCCAUUCUGAUUAUCCAGAAGUAUUUCCCGAACAACAUCCAAUACAUUUGUGCUCCACACAUCAUCAAGCACAAUCAAAUACCACUUAGUCAUUAGAUAUUCACCAAGAUUAAUUUUUUUCAUUUCAUAAUCUUUAUCCUUUAUUUUACUCAACAUAGAAAAAGGCAAUAGAAACAUAGUAACGAUAUCUAAUAUUUGGUAAGCGUCAUAGUGAUAAGGCGCUGGAAUCCAAGCUAGAUGAUCAAAAUAAUGCUUCACAUAACUACUGUUGUAAGCCUCUGCAGUGAAAGCCGUCUUGUCCAACCCAAUGCUAUCGAGUAUGGCCACCACUGAAAGCUGAUUUGGUCCCUCGAUCAAUAGAUCUAACAACUCCUCCAUUCUAUCAUCUAGACCCACCGUGUUCCGAUUCUUAGAAGAUGAAGAUGCAAGAAAAUAACUGGAUUCAACUUCAGCCCUUCUGAACUCAUCAAUGAUUUCGGAAUCGAUGUGCUUAAGUUGUUGAACCCGUUGAUUAAUCUCGGUGAUUCUGCUUUGGAGUCCUUGCAGAGCAUCACAAAUGUCCUUCCUACAGCUGCUUUGACUCUUCUGUUGAGUGAUGCUGUUGAUGAAUGUGUCAAUCACCUUCUCAAAUUCACAGGUAAAGCAAUUGAUUUCGUCCAUAACGGUCGCCAGAUCUGGGUUGUCAAUUUCAUCUUUUCCUUUUUUUUUGCAGCAGAAGCCAGGACAUGUCGUCUUCAAAUUCACUCAGCCAAGAAGUAACAAUUUCAAUCUCGGCAUGAAGGUUAUGAAUAGGUUGUUUUGCAGCAUCAGGCAACGUGACUUCUUCACCAGCUAAAACCCUUCUCAGCCUCUCUGAAAAUAGUCUGAACUUGAUGUCCAUAUCUCCUCCUCUCUCAUAUUCACCCAGAAAUCAGUCCUGUAGCAUGCAAAGAAAUAAUUAAAAGAGAGAGGGGAAAAGGAAAAUAUGCUUUAAAACUCUCAAUUCAAAGCUUUGUGCUGGCUCCCUGAUGAGCAUACUAGUUAUAUUUAUUUGUUAUUUUUAAUUAGUUGAAUUGUUUUAUUGAAUAGGGAAUUAAUUGGAGAUUAUGGAUAAAAAGUGCAUAAAGAAUAACAACUGAACAACAUUGAAGAUCAAGUCAAUUUGUAGAAGCAGUUAAGUAAAUGUAUAUGAAAUUCAAUCUGAAAAAAAAGCCAAUAAAUUGAAUUUUCCAUGCUGGUGCAAACAAAGAAGAAAUUUAAAGCUAAAGUGGCCUGCACGUGAGAAGCAAUUGCAUGGCAUUACAAAAAGAAUGAAAAUUCCAAGUGGGCUCCAAGUGCAUGGGCUCAAAGUCGGUUGUGCUUGGCUUGUUUUAAAUCCUUUUGAUUUGAGGAUUUUGGAGGGUGUUACAAUAUAAAAGCUGAACUUUGGCU
rnacentral:lncRNA from 1 species